rnacentral:rRNA from 1 species
AUCACUAAGCGGAGGAAAAGAAACUAACUAGGAUUCCCCUAGUAAUGGCGAAUGAAGCGGGAAGAGCUCAGCACCGAAUCCCGCAGCCUUGCGCUGCAGGGAACUGUGGUGUUUGGGACGUCUAUUGGCGCGAUGUCCGGGUGCCUAGGUCCUCCUGAUCGGGGCCUCUCCCAGAGCGGGUGUCAGGCCUUUACCGGCACCUGGCGUCGUGCCUCAGAGCGUCCUUGGAGUCGGGUUGUUUGAGAAUGCAGCCCAAAGCGGGUGGUAAACUCCAUCUAAAGCUAAAUACCGGCACGAGUCCGAUAGCGGACAAGUACCGUGAGGGAAAGUUGAAAA